UUUGCUCCUUGACUCGGCCGCCUCCAUUUCCCCUUCCUUUCUCUAUUCUCUCAACUCCCACAGACAAAUCAAUCACAAACCUUGCACAAAUUCGUGGAAGGUCAUGAAUCAACCAGUAAAUCAUCCUUAUUGCCCCCUAUGACUACGAAUCAUGCUAUUUUCUUUCCUCUUUCAUCAAUAAGAUUCAAAAUCCCCAAAAUUUGAAACCCUAGCUAAUAGAUGAUAUUUAAAAUCGUUUGUAACACUGUUAUGGUCAUUCAAAUCUGUGGCAUGCAUGGCCAUCCCUUUAGCGUUAUCAUCAUUAUUCUUGGUCCGGAGAUUAAGCGAACAACCUCUAGACAUUGGGCCUUUAUUGGAUGGAUCAUUCCUUCAACGGUCAGCUUCCCCAUCUCAGGUAAAAACUAUCACUGCUCUCACCUCAGUUCUUCUCUGAUUUCACUCGAUGUUGCUUGCAUCAUCAACUCUUCGUCAUCUUCCACUAUCAUUUUGAAUCUGUUGAAACAUAAGGCAUUGAAUGCCAUUAAAAAUGAUGCCUUCAAUACCCUUACCUAUAUGACCUAACUACAGAAGUAUCAUUAACUACACUUAAAGUUCUAAGUAGCAAAAUAAAAGCUAGGGUUCCUAACUGUAUUUUGAUUUCUUUCCUCUUUCUGGUUUCGAGCUUAGCUGAUUGGGGUUUGAAUUUUGAUUCUUAAACGGCUAAGAAAAAUCCUCAUUUUGUUUGCUGCUCAAAGGAAGG
rnacentral:lncRNA from 1 species